rnacentral:lncRNA from 1 species
UUUAUAACAUUCUCUCAGUCGUAACUGUCACCGAACCUUCUCAUUGCACCACGUUUCAUUUUGGCAAUUGUCAUCCUUAUAUCCUAAUUAAGAAAUCAUAGCCAAAAUUUGCACUUACUCCUGUAUUUUGAAUUACCUUUGCUGAAGCAUUUUAUCUCCCAAGAAUGAUCAUAUUUUCACUAAAGAUUGUUUGAAUCAACCCAUCCAUGUCUUUUUAAAAUCAUUGUUUGUAGUAUUGUCUGGCUAAGCUUUAAAAAAAGUCACACUUAUUCUUAAGUGACUUUUUCUCCAAAUUUGGUUGAAUGACUUUUUUUCUUACCGAACUAAAUCAUUACUUAUUUGAAAGUAACUCUUACUUUGCUAUCAAUAUAAGUAGUGUAUUUCCACUGUGAUCAGUAAAAAAAUUAUUUACUUUAUAAACUGACUUAUAAAGUAAAUAUUUUAAGCCUAGACUCACAUCAGUCACAUGCAUGUGGAGAAUAAGUGCUAAUAAUUCUUUUCCUGAAAAAGUCACCUAUUCUUGAGCAGUUUAAGUUCUACAAGCUCGUAUUAUAAACCUAAAUCAAUGACUACCUCUUCUAUGCAAGGCUAUGGUAUGGGUUCUCUGUUUACCCCAACUUCACUACACUUGGAUUUCUGUACAAUGCUUCAUUAGUAGGGGUAUUUCAACUUAUAGCAAACCUCCUUUAAUCAGUCUUGGGAUCAAACAUAGGUGGAGUUGUUAAUUACCGUAAACUUGAAAACUAAUUUUAAACCGUAGUUAAAAUUAAAAGCACAUAAUUAAUAUGCUCCUUGGUGAGUUGGUA